rnacentral:rRNA from 1 species
UACGUAGGGUGCGAGCGUUAAUCGGAAUUACUGGGCGUAAAGCGUGCGUAGGCGGUUCGCUGUGUCCGAUGUGAAAGCCCCGGGCUUAACCUGGGAAUGGCAUUGGAAACUGGCGGGCUUGAGUGCGGCAGAGGGGGGGUGGAAUUCCGCGUGUAGCAGUGAAAUGCGUAGAGAUGCGGAGGAACACCGAUGGCGAAGGCAGCCCCCUGGGUCGACACUGACGCUCAGGCACGAAAGCGUGGGGAGCAAACAGG